CAACGUGUAUUUUUAAUAAAAAAGAAUAAAUAUUACGACUUUCAAAAGCUGAAAGUGAUAACACUUCUGAAGAAUUUACAUGUUUUCCUCUAAUGCAUGUUGCGAUAUGAUAACAAUUCAGAAGCACAUGGCAUAUUCAAUAAUUUGACUUUUAAAAAAAAAUCCAGUUCUGAACAAUGCAUAUUCUAAACAAAGGUUCCGUAAAUUUUCCUAAUGCAAUAGACACCA
rnacentral:lncRNA from 1 species